rnacentral:rRNA from 2 species
GGGUUGUGAGGUUAAGUGACUAAGCGUACACGGUGGAUGCCCUGGCAGUCAGAGGCGAUGAAGGGCGUGCUAAUCUGCGAUAAGCGCCGGUAAGGUGAUAUGAACCGUUAUAACCGGCGAUACCCGAAUGGGGAAACCCAGUGUGACUCGUCACACUAUCAUUAACUGAAUCCAUAGGUUAAUGAGGCGAACCGGGGGAACUGAAACAUCUAAGUACCCCGAGGAAAAGAAAUCAACCGAGAUUCCCCCAGUAGCGGCGAGCGAACGGGGAGGAGCCCAGAGCCUGAAUCAGCAUGUGUGUUAGUGGAAGCGUCUGGAAAGGCGCGCGAUACAGGGUGACAGCCCCGUACACAAAAGCGCAUAUGCUGUGAGCUCGAUGAGUAGGGCGGGACACGUGGUAUCCUGUCUGAAUAUGGGGGGACCAUCCUCCAAGGCUAAAUACUCCUGACUGACCGAUAGUGAACCAGUACCGUGAGGGAAAGGCGAAAAGAACCCCGGCGAGGGGAGUGAAAAAGAACCUGAAACCGUGUACGUACAAGCAGUGGGAGCCCCACCACUAAGCCAGUGGUGAACUCCACAUACGCAUCCUUUGCUGAGGAUACGGUUAACGGAGCGCAAGCGACGUUCAACCGCAAAAGAAGCAGAGGGGGCUUAGUGGUGG